rnacentral:tRNA from 1 species
GCUGGCAUAGCUCAGUGGUAGAGCGCCACCUUGGUAAGGUGGAGGUCCAGGGUUCAAUCCCCUGUGCCAGCU